UACCCUGAGCGGCGGAUCACUCGGCUCGUAGGUCGAUGAAAGACGCAGCAAACUGCGCGUCGCCAUGUAAACUGC
rnacentral:rRNA from 1 species